rnacentral:rRNA from 1 species
AGAGCGAACGCUGGCGGCAUGCUUAACACAUGCAAGUCGCACGGGCGUUGGGGCAACCUGGCGUCAGUGGCGGACGGGUGAGGAGCGCGUAGGAACCUAUCCUGUGGUGGGGGACAACCCUGGGAAACUGGGGCUAAUACCGCAUAGGGCCUGAGGGCCAAAGCCGGGGUGACCUGGCGCCAUGGGAGGGGCCUGCGUCCGAUUAGCUUGUGGUGGGUAACGCCUACAAGGCAUCGAU